GAGGGCUACUCCAUUUCCAUAGCCCUGCGGACCAACAAAAAGGAGGAAGAAAAACCGCUUCGGCUUGCGGUGCGGCAGUGUGGAGACCUGCCGUAAAGCGGCCCGGGUGCCACUCCCGGGUUUGCGAGGUGACAGGGCGGAGGCCCGGUCAUCAAAGCCGGAUGUUAUGGC
rnacentral:ncRNA from 1 species